GCGUCAUGUAUCUGAUGGAGAUGGUGUUGGAGGGAAACUCAAAGGAUGCAGCUAUACAAAAACACAUACCCUGUGCUAAUCUUUCUAAUUUAUGCUUUCAUGUAAAGCCAUACCCCCUAACAGCAGUGUCCACUGAAGCAGAAAGUCAAUGGGCUGUGUAAAUGGGUGGGCAACUGGCGUGAAUAACGUGACAAGACUUGCCAAAAGGGGUGAACGUGCCCAAAAAGGGAGCAUGUUUGUCAAAAGAAUUGGCUUUAAGGACUGUCCCCUCACUCACAUGUCCACCUGUCUCCUUACCUUCUUACUAGCAGGCAGAAGUUCCU